UUUCUUCGGAUUGAUAUCCUUAGUGACUGAGUGGCGGACGGGUGAGUAACGCGUGGGUAACCUGCCUCAUACAGGGGGAUAACAGUUAGAAAUGGCUGCUAAUACCGCAUAAGCGCACAGUACCACAUGGUACCGUGUGAAAAACUCCGGUGGUAUGAGAUGGACCCGCGUCUGAUUAGCUAGUUGGCAGGGUAACGGCCUACCAAGGCGACGAUCAGUAGCCGACCUGAGAGGGUGAUCGGCCACAUUGGGACUGAGACACGGCCCAAACUCC
rnacentral:rRNA from 1 species